rnacentral:rRNA from 1 species
CGGCCCAGACUCCUACGGGAGGCAGCAGUGGGGAAUAUUGCACAAUGGGCGAAAGCCUGAUGCAGCGACGCCGCGUGAGGGAUGACGGCCUUCGGGUUGUAAACCUCUUUCAGCAGGGAAGAAGCGAAAGUGACGGUACCUGCAGAAGAAGCGCCGGCUAACUACGUGCCAGCAGCCGCGGUAAUACGUAGGGCGCAAGCGUUGUCCGGAAUUAUUGGGCGUAAAGAGCUCGUAGGCGGCUUGUCACGUCGAUUGUGAAAGCCCGAGGCUUAACCUCGGGUCUGCAGUCGAUACGGGCUAGCUAGAGUGUGGUAGGGGAGAUCGGAAUUCCUGGUGUAGCGGUGAAAUGCGCAGAUAUCAGGAGGAACACCGGUGGCGAAGGCGGAUCUCUGGGCCAUUACUGACGCUGAGGAGCGAAAGCGUGGGGAGCGAACAGGAUUAGAUACCCUGGUAGUCCACGCCGUAAACGGUGGGAACUAGGUGUUGGCGACAUUCCACGUCGUCGGUGCCGCAGCUAACGCAUUAAGUUCCCCGCCUGGGGAGUACGGCCGCAAGGCUAAAACUCAAAGGAAUUGACGGGGGCCCGCACAAGC